GACGCUAAGCGCGCGAAGGUCAGGUGGGUGGGUCGUCACUUCCAGGAUCCAGUUUUACAGGAUUUGAGAACUCACAUUUCCAAAGAUGCAAGACUGCUUUAAACCUUUUGGGGAAGUCAGUUUUGUACUAGAAGCUGUAUCGUGUCCAAGAUUUUAUAAAAGCUUAAUUUGUGUUGACAGUCUGUGAACACCUGUAUCAGGUGCACUGCUGUCCACACAGCCUGCAGGUCCCGGGUCCUCUGUGUGAGGUGCACUGCCGUCCACACAGCCUGCUGGUCCCGGGUCCUCUGUGUGAGGUGCACUCCUGUCCACACAGCCUGCCGGUCCCGGGUCCUCUGUGUGAGGUGCACUGCCGUCCACACAGCCUGCCGGUCCCGGGUCCUCUGUGUGAGGUGCACUGCCGUCCACACAGCCUGCCGGUCCCGGGUCCUCUGUGUGAGGUGCACUGCCGUCCACACAGCCUGCCGGUCCCGGGUCCUCUGUGUGAGGUGCACUCCUGUCCACACAGCCUGCCGGUCCCGGGUCCUCUGUGUGAGGUGCACUGCCGUCCACACAGCCUGCCGGUCCCGGGUCCUCUGUGUGAGGUGCACUGCCGUCCACACAGCCUGCCGGUCCCGGGUCCUCUGUGUGAGGUGCACUCCUGUCCACACAGCCUGCCGGUCCCGGGUCCUCUGUGUGAGGUGCACUGCCGUCCACACAGCCUGCCGGUCCCGGGUCCUCUGUGUGAGGUGCACUGCCGUCCACACAGCCUGCCGGUCCCGGGUCCUCUGUGUGAGGUGCACUGCCGUCCACACAGCCUGCUGGUCCCGGGUCCUCUGUGUGAGGUGCACUGACCCAUUUAGCCCGAGGGCGGAGCCGGCCGCGGUGUGACUUCCCCCAGGACCACACAGCUGGUGCCUGUGAGAUCAGUCUGUGGCUGGAGGCUCUCUGGCACGAAGGACUCAUGGAGUCUGAGAAUUCUGCCUCCUUUCUGAGCCUCCGAUGCACGGUGGGUUCAGCCUGGGACCUGGCUGCUGCUUCACCCCACCCCUAACUCAGCCGUCCACUCUUGAGUGCCUCCGUGAGAACCACUGGCCGCGGGGCUCCUCCUGGGGCCGGGCUCAGCCUUGGCGUGGAGGCUGCCUGCGCGUGCUGGGAGCACCACUGGCCGCGGGGCUCCUCCUGGGGCCGGGCUCAGCCUUGGCGUGGAGGCUGCCUGCGCGUGCUGGGAGCACCACUGGCCGCGGGGCUCCUCCUGGGGCCGGGCUCAGCCUUGGCGUGGAGGCUGCCUGCGCGUGCUGGGAGCACCACUGGCCGCGGGGCUCCUCCUGGGGCCGGGCUCAGCCUUGGCGUGGAGGCUGCCUGCGCGUGCUGGGAGCACCACUGGCCGCGGGGCUCCUCCUGGGGCCGGGCUCAGCCUUGGCGUGGAGGCUGCCUGCGCGUGCUGGGGGAACCACUGGCCGCAGGGCUCCUCCUGGGGCUGGGCUCAGCCUUGGCGUGGAGGCUGCCUGCGCGUGCUGGGAGCAGGACCCUCCCUAAGGAGUGAUGGGGAGGCUUGUGGGGGGAUCCUGUCACAGUGGGGGUCAAGGUGAGGUUUUCCCUUAACACAGCAUUCUAAGUGGUGGGGAAUUCCUUGCAAUACCUGAUGCACCGUAGACGCCAUUAGGUGUGAUUUAGAGGAUUUCUUGGGUUCGGUCUGGGAAGGUGGAACUGUGGCUUGUAAAGUUGCUUCUGUGGAAAAAUGGAACCCUGGGAAUCUAGCAGUGUCUCCAGAACACUUUCCAAAUAAAACCCACCUGUCAGCUGAUCGCUCACGUUUCGUCACAUCUAUUGAAAGUAGAACUUCACAGGCUCUUUGGGGAUGGUCUCGUUAUUGUAUCAAGUUUCGUUUCCCAUUUAUUUGAGAAUUUUUAAUUUAUUUUUUUAUUUGAAAUACAAUCAGAGCUCUCAACAGAGCUCCCACCUGCUGGUUCAGGCUGCAAGUGCUGGGCCACGCUAGAAGCCGGGAGCUCCAUCCGGGUCUUCCACGUGGGAGGCAGGCGGAGCCAUUGCCACUGCUUCCUAGGGUGUGCGUUAGCAGAAAGCCGGAGCUGGGAGCCGAGCCAGGCCUCGAACCCGGGCACUCCAGGGUGUCCCAAUGGCAUCAUAUCCAUUACGCCAGACACCCACCCUCCCCCGUUCCAGUUUAUUCUGUGCUGGCUCCGUGCUCUCCUAAUGAGUGAUGAUGCACACAUCUGGCUGCUGCUGAGGGCCAGCUGCCGACGUGAGGGCCUCAGGCAGUGGCAGUGCCAGGCUUACGUCUCUCUCACAGCCCGAAUCCGGCUUCCACACUGUCACGUGUCUGCCAGACCCACUCCUCCACUCCCUGUGACAUGUUCCGGGCUCGGGGCUCUUUCUCCUCGUGUUCUAGCACUCCCUCCCCCAUGCACCCCUGGAGGUUGGGACCCAGUUGGGAUUCAAGUGUUUGAGGGCGCCCUUGCUUUGUGUGUGUCCGUGGGACACCUUGCUGUGCAGGUGCGGGGGCCGAGCAUUGCAGGGCGUCCGAUGCGUGUAUGGAGUUGGGGACGUCUCAGCCGUGAUAUCGUGAUUCUAACAGGCUGCAGGUUCCCAGGAAACAUGGGGACCGUUUUCUGGAGACCUCGUUUCUUAGCGUGUUUGUUGCUUUCAGUGGUUUUGAGAAAAAUAAAUAAAGCAAUUAUUGUUUGCAGGGUUGAGAGAGAAGGAGGGAGGGAGGAAGAGAAAGAGGUGUCCUCUUUCCACUGGUCACUCCCCAAACGCCCACAGCAGCCAGGGCUGGGCCUGACCAGAGCCAGGAGCAGAGCCCUGGGCACUCGGUUGAGGUGUCCCACGUGGGUGACAGGGACCCGAGGACUUGAGCCACCACCCGCUGCUUCUCAGGUGCAUGUCGCCGGAAUCUGCGAUCCGGGGUGGAGCCAGGACUGCGCCAGGCCCUCUGAUGGGGUGCGGGUGUCUGAGCGCCACCUCAGUCGCUGCCAGCUCCCUGUCCCUGUUUGAACUCGGCCUGUGAAGCUGUCAAAGCUGUGGUUUAUGACCUCUGGCUUUUAUUCUGGGGACACAGGAAAUUGUGGUUUGGGACUCAGGUGGACUGAGCAGAUGAGGCCAGAUUAGGAGCGGGGCUGAGGUGAGCAGCCGAGUCUGGCUUCAGGGCGCUCGUGUGUGACCCUGGGGCCAGUGCUGUGCGGUCUGGGGUCGGGCUGAGCUGGGGCUCCCCUGCCCCUGGGAAGAGGCCUGGCAGGCCUUGGAGCACAGCUUCGAGAAGCUCUGUGUGUGUGUGUGUGUCUGAGAGAGAGAGGGAGAGAGGGAGAGAGAGAGAGACACCCUGGGGCCAAUGCUGUGCGGUCUGGGGUCGGGCUGAGCUGGGGCUCCCCUGCCCCUGCGAAGAGGCCUGGCAGGCCUUGGAGCACAGCUUCGAGAGGCUCGUGUGUGUGUGUGUGCGCAUGCGCGCGCACGUGUGCAUGUGACCCUGGAGGCUCCCCUGCUGUGCCCCCGGGAGGAGGCCUUGGAGCACAGGUUUGGGACUUGCCGGGUGGCAGCUGUAUGUCCCUCUGCCCGGUGCACCUGCUUUCCUGUCUGUGAAGCGUGGCUGCGGCUCUGAGCCCUCGUGCCUUCCUCUGGGCCGCAGGCCUCUCCUGUGGGCUGCUGGUGAUGUCAGUCAUGGGAGAAGCCCAGCGGCCUGGCCCUUCUGAAAGCAAGCUCCGACUGCCCUUCCCCUCACCCUGCCCGUCCUCAGGCUUGGGGGCGCCUGGAGUCUCCGCUCCUCGCAGGUGGGCUGGAACUUCGGGCAUCGCUGGUGCUCACGGGAGGAUGGAUGCCAGGGCUGCUUGCCAGGAGCCCCUGCUCCUGCCAGCUUCCCAGGGGAGCAGGUGUGCGCCUGUGCUCACAGAGCAGCGUUCCUUGGGUCUGAUGCUGACGCCAUUCCCGUUGCCUGU